AAGUUCUACUUGAAGUCAUAGUAAACAUGAAUCGAUGUGAAGAACAAACAAGUGAGUAAGACAAUCGAUUUUACUUUUUAUUAAAUACGUCAUACAAGUCAGGACAUGAAUCAAUGGUCACGUAAAUGUCUAUAAUAAAAAAACAAACAAGUGAGUAAAGUUAGACAUAUAACUUUAACAAUCCUUAUUCGUUGAACAUAAGGGUACUCCGGUAUCCGGCUAUAUAUAUGUACAUGUCCACACCAUGUAUACGUCCUUUGGGGAAUAUGUUGCCCUAUUUAUGUUUCCCCAAAUGUACUGAAUAUAAUAUUCAGAUUGUCUUUAUAGGUUUUGUGGAAUAUAAACACUUGCCUCCCUCUUACAUUAAAUCGGUGUUGGGUGUCCGUGUAAUACCGGAACUUUCUAAACGUUCUAGGUCCAAACAACCGAACCUGGUAAGUUAAUCUUAAAUCUUCUCCCGUCUAUGAUGUUAAUGAAUAGUUCUCUGUUCUCGGUUUCGCGCGGGCUGGAAGACGGUAUACUCAGGCUCUACUGCGGGGGCUCCGUCGGGGGCUACUAGUAGGGCCGCUUCUGCUGCGACCACUACUCGGGGAGGACGACCGGCCUCUAAGGGGUGAGCAGGAAGUGCCUGCCCGGCUGCUUCCUGUCGUAGUACUAGAGGUACCGGAGGCGCCAGGUCGGGUGCGGCCGCAUCCGGUCGUGGUCGCGGACCUUGGAGGGCUUCGGGUGGACCCUGUCGCGCAGCAGGCAGCACAUCAUCGGCGUGAGGGGCGGGGAUCGGAGCGGAGGGCGGUAAGGGAAGGUUUCUUUGGCCGUCCCGCCGCGCGCCGGCAUCUGACCGCCCUCUGAAGCCGCGUUCGCGGCGG
rnacentral:rRNA from 1 species